UUGGCAGAAUCUCUAAUUUUUCUUAACUGUUAAAAUUAAAUAAAGAAAUUCAUGUUCAGAAUCUUAGUUAAUUGCAAUUUCAUUACAAAGUAGUGACCUGUAAACCAUUUACUUUAUAAAAGAUAUAAAUUCUAGGCUGAGGUUAAACAAAAAUUUUGGCAUAAACUAAUGAGACCCAGAUGAUUUCUUUCCGGGAUAUGACAGUCCAUGGGACUGCCUGAGGCCAUUCUAGGUCAACAAGAGUUUUUAAGGAACUAGUUUUAAUUUCUUCUCUAAAAAUGCUGGUGGGAAAACAUUUGCAUCUAUAUUCUUUGGUCUUAUGAUUUUCCUACAGAUUGGAGAUCAUGUCCUUAAUAAAUAAUUUUGAAGGGUACUUAAAAAUAUGUUUUCAUCAAAUUGUUCAUAAGAGAACUUGAAAUCUGUGAAAUUUUAUUAUUAGUGAUAUUCUAUCUAAAUGAAAUUUGCUCAUUUCUGUUCUCAUUAGCAUACUGAUGCCCCUGGAGGAAAAGAGCUGGUGUAAUGCAUUAUUGCAGAUAUAAUCAUCUUGUUCAGCCCCAGUUACUGAUGAUUAUGACACCUAAACACUUGAGUCUGGUUCUCGUGGAAGCACAUUAAGACUGGAGACUGAGAGUUCAGAGAAUGUCACCGACUGGCCCAAGAAUGAUCCAAGUGCCUGCGCUCAGUUCUGCAAAAAUGUUCCUCUUUAUCAAGGGUUAAUGAUGUCCCCAUUUUUCCUGAGGACAGAUGGAGGCAGAACUUGGAAGGACUGGCCCGAGGCCACAGGGUGACUCAUGAGCACAAGAUGGAUGUGAGUGAGAGAUUCUCCUCCCCUAAUCUCACUUCCAGACCCUACAC
rnacentral:lncRNA from 1 species